AUUUCUAGUGCCCCGUACUUUGCUCGUUUACGUUUUGUGCCGUGUUCCUUCUUCUUCAAUCAUGGAAUAAUUUUUCCUUGUAAAUUUCUAAGUUACAGUGCACGCGCAUGUUAAUCGAUGGUUGCCAACAUCCCGCAAAACGAUCGACGGAAGGAAAACGGUGUCCGGUUUUAAAAUAUAAAGAUUUCAUCACAGCUCUUUCGUAGAUGAGCGCACUUCAAGCACGCCUAGGAUAUGGCUUAACAUGCGCAGCACCAGUCCGUGACGUCAUUUCCAGACAGGCGCCGGCUGAACACGUGCAGCACCAGUCGAGGAUCCAAGAGCAGAGGGUAGAAGGAAGAACGAGAGGAAGGGUAAGAGAAAGCAACCGCAGCAUUUGGAAUGGGUGAAGCAUCCUGCCGUAUACAGUGUGAGUGUGCUAAAACGCAUGUGGAAAGAGUAACACCAAUAAAUAGCAUGCGAAAGUGUGCAUAAAGCAAAAAGAAAAAGCGUCACUACUACAACCAGCAAUCCGAAAAUAUAAGGGGAGGGAUAUAUGCAAAUGUAUGCGUGAGCAGGACCAGCAAUCCAAGCAUUUAAAUGUGUGCGACAGUUUGCGCCGUGCGGAAAGUUUUUACUUUAGCUGCUGCUAGUGUAAAAACUUAAGGAAAGCUACCCAUUGAAGCACACACGAGGAUAAGAAACUUACCUUAGAAAUUUACAAGGAUAAAUCAUCCCAUAAUUGAAGAAGAAGGAACACAGCACAAAACGUAAACGAGCAAAGUACGGGGCACAAGAAAUCACACAUCACUCCAACACAUCCUUCCACAGUGAAAGUUCUGGACAGACUGAGGAUGCCUAAC